GAUGAACGCUAGCGGCAGGCCUAAUACAUGCAAGUCGAACGGUAAGGCCCUUUCGGGGUACGACGAGUGGCGGACGGGUGCGUAACGCGUAUGCAACAUGCCUUCCAGCGGGGGAGUAUACCAGGGAAACGUUGGCGCAAUACCCCACUAGAAUUACGGGACCGCAUGGUCUUGUGAUUAAAACUACCGGUGCUGGGAGGAUUGGCAUGCGUGACAUUAGCUAGUUGGCGGGGUAACGGCCCACCAAGGCGACGAUGUCUAGCUGGUCUGAGAGGAUGAUCAGCCACACUGGGACUGAGACACGGCCCAGACUCCUACGGGAGGCAGCAGUAGGGAAUAUUGGACAAUGGGGGGAACCCGUGAUCCAGCCAUGCCGCGUGAGGGAAGAAGGUCCGUCUGGAUUGUAAACCUACUUUUGGUCAGGAAACAAACCUGCGCUAUACGCGCAGCUGAGGGUACCUGCAGAAUAAGCACCGGCUAACUCCGUGCCAGCAGCCGCGGUAAAGU
rnacentral:rRNA from 1 species